CUGAGUUGUUGGCAUGAGCUGUUGCUGGUCCCCAAACCUGGGGGCAUGUGCACGCUCUGUUCACACAUCCACUCACACCUGUGCACCCUCUGUGGUUCUACAGUCUGGGGGACACACCGUCUUCCGCUCUGUGGUUCUGCAUCUUUACACACACACACCUUAGUGAAGUCUUAUGGAAUGUGCAUCGCGUUUAACGCAAUACAAUA
rnacentral:misc_RNA from 1 species